GACGAACGCUGGCGGCGUGCUUAACACAUGCAAGUCGAACGGAAAGGCCCUGCUUUUGUGGGGUGCUCGAGUGGCGAACGGGUGAGUAACACGUGAGUAACCUGCCCUUGACUUUGGGAUAACUUCAGGAAACUGGGGCUAAUACCGGAUAGGAGCUCCUGCUGCAUGGUGGGGGUUGGAAAGUUUCGGCGGUUGGGGAUGGACUCGCGGCUUAUCAGCUUGUUGGUGGGGUAGUGGCUUACCAAGGCUUUGACGGGUAGCCGGCCUGAGAGGGUGACCGGCCACAUUGGGACUGAGAUACGGCCCAGACUCCUACGGGAGGCAGCAGUGGGGAAGAUUGCACAAUGGGCGGAAGCCUGAUGCAGCAACGCCGCGUGCGGGAUGACGGCCUUCGGGUUGUGAACCGCUUUCGCCUGUGACGAAGCGUGAGUGACGGUAAUGGGUAAAGAAGCACCGGCUAACUACGUG
rnacentral:rRNA from 1 species